UACGGGGGGGGUAAGCGUUGUUCGGAAUUACUGGGCGUAAAGGGCUCGUAGGCGGCCAACUAAGUCAUACGUGAAAUCCCUCAGCUUAACUGGGGAACUGCGUGUGAUACUGGAUGGCUUGGAUUUGGGAGAGGGAUGCGGAAUUCCAGGUGUAGCGGUGAAAUUCGUAGAUAUUCGGAGGAACACCAGUGGCGAAGGCGGCUCACUGGCUCGAUACUGACGCUGAGGUGCGAAAGCGUGGGGAGCAAACAGG
rnacentral:rRNA from 1 species